GACGAACGCUGGCGGCGUGCUUAACACAUGCAAGUCGAACGGAAAGGCCCUGCUUUUGUGGGGUGCUCGAGUGGCGAACGGGUGAGUAACACGUGAGUAACCUGCCCUUGACUUUGGGAUAACUUCAGGAAACUGGGGCUAAUACCGGAUAGGAGCUCCUGCUGCAUGGUGGGCGUUGGAAAGUUUCGGCGGUUGGGGAUGGACUCGCGGCUUAUCAGCUUGUUGGUGGGGUAGUGGCUUACCAAGGCGUUGACGGGUAGCCGGCCUGAGAGGGUGACCGGCCACAUUGGGACUGAGAUACGGCCCAGACUCCUACGGGAGGCAGCAGUGGGGAAUAUUGCACAAUGGGCGGAAGCCUGAUGCAGCAACGCCGCGUGCGGGAUGACGGCCUUCGGGUUGUAAACCGCUUUCGCCUGUGACGAAGCGUGAGUGACGGUAAUGGGUAAAGAAGCACCGGCUAACUACGUG
rnacentral:rRNA from 1 species